rnacentral:lncRNA from 10 species
CACGUGGGUGUUCCUGCUCCCUGUUGUCUCUGCAUCCGCGCUCCUGCUUCGCCUCUGCUCUUGGCCUCAUCCCUCUUGGUUUUGAACCGGGACAGCUUUAUGUCUCUCUGGGCUUCCAGUUGCAGCAUUGACAAUGCCUACAUAGACUGUCUCCCUCAGAGGACCUUUUAUGUGCCAUGUAGGCAGAUACCGUGUGCUCUCCUGCUUGGUUCCCAAGUGGGGCUCUCACAGACUUCAGUGGGAAGUUCACUGGGGGACUUGGGCAAUGAUGGGGAAAGAAAGGGAAGAAAUUCACACCUCCAGGAGGAAUGGAAAUGGAAUACCUUGAGAUGGACCUUUCAGAAGUCUUAAUUCUGCCUGCCUUAUGACUUGAACAGCCUCCCCUCUGAUGGAAUGGACAGUAGGGCUGGAAGUGGAGCAGGGAACAGGAAGGUCUCUGAGAAUCUCAUUGUGACAUCUUCAUGUGCUCUAAGUCCACACUGAGGGUCACCUGCUGCCUCUGCAGGUCUCUGGCUGUAGACCAUUGAUCACUUCUUCUGAGCCUAAUCUGCUGCUCUGUAAGCCAUAUAGAAACCAAACAUUAAACAGUAUUUCAUGUGUGCCCAGCAUCUCCUGCCAUGCUCAGAUGACUAGGAGGAAAGAAAAUCCCAAAACAAGAAAGAAAGUCCAGCAAACAUUUCUACCAAAGGUGAUACAUUUUAUUUGGGGGGUUUUCAGGGAUAUUUUUUAUUUGGAGAAUGCCACAUGCUACUUUUUUAGGGGGGAGAAUUUUGUCUCUCUCUCCCCUCACCCCUGUUUGGUUCGUCAGGCAAUGGAGUGCCUACACGCUGGUUGCUGCCUGGCUUCCUUCUGGCAUAUUUCUUUCAGAUUUUUACCCCAAGCUGAUAUGAACUUAAGUCUCUGUUCCCUAUUGCACUGUUAAAUUCAGUGGCAUCUUUCAUAAAAUUUCAGAAACAGAAGUGUUUCUUUCUACUUGGAAUUGUUUUUACAAUAAAUUUGAUUUGUCUGCCACCCACCUGGCUUGCUUUAAAGUUCAAUCUCGGUUAGGGAUUCGUCUACCUGCUCCCUUGGGCUCCCGUGAAAAUCCUAGGCUUAUGCAACCUAAUACCUCCAGCAGUGUGUUUCCGGAAACCUUCUGAAACCCAAAGAAAUGGUUCCCCGGGACAAGGAAGCCCUCAGGACAUAAGCAGGGCAAUGCUUACCGGAGACUGGAGGAGAGGGCUGCACUUUUCUUCCCAUUCUCACGGAGUACAGAGGACAGGGGAGUUUGCAGACUGUGGCAGAGACACCUCACUGCUCAUUAGACCUGGACACGAGACUGAGUUUCCGGCCGUCCUGGCUGGUGUUGGCCACUGGAUGACAGUGGAAGUGAGGCCGGGCCUCCUGGCCUAGCACAGUCAGCCUGAUAUGUGCUUUCAUGCUUCUUCCACUUCCACUGCCGAAUGCAAAGGCGCUGAGACCCUCAAGGAUGAAGGACCCGCAAGAUGGGAGAAGCCUUGGUCAUCCUGAGCAAAGACUUCCACCCAGCACAGCUGGACACCCCGGGCAGUCAUGGGAGAGAGACAUCCAUGUGUUGACCCUCUGCGGUGACAGGGUUUAUUUGUUAUGCAGCUAGCAUUGCCAUAACAAAUUCUUCUCUCAAUUUCUGCACAGAAUAAGCUAUUCUGACAUAUAUCAUUGUUUAUUUAACCUAUCUGUUAUUUUUAGGCCUUUUGGUUUAUUGGCAUUUACUUAGAAAUAACACCGUAGGGCUUGGCACAGCAGCUCACACCUGUAAUCCAGCACUUUAGGAGGUUGAGGUGGGAGGACUGCUUGAGGCCAGGAGUUGGAGACCAGCCUAUGCAACACAGCAAGACUCUAUCUCUACAAAAAAAAAUUCAAAAUAAGUAUGAGCCAGACAUGGUUGUGCACACCUGUCAUCCCAGCUGCUCAGGAGGCUGAAGUGGGAGGAUUGCUUGAGCCCAGGAGUUUGAGGUUACAGUAAACUAUGAACGUAUCACUGCACUCCAGCCUGGGUGACAGAGUAAAACCCUGUCUCUAAAAAUAAAUGAAGAAAUAAAUAAAUAACACUAUAAUAAAUAUGCUUGAACAAAUAUCUUUUUGCAUGCUUUCAGAAACCUUUAGGAGAAUAUGUUUUUACAAAUGGAGAUUUACAGUCAAAGAGUAUUGAGGUUUUUAAAUUUCAGUUUAAUUUAAAAGGAAUUAACACAAUAUUUUUAAAAAAAUGUGCCAGUUUAGACUUCCUCAGACUAUGUAUGAAAAUACCUGUUAUAUACCUAUAAAUGUAUAUCAGCAAUCAUUUUACUUUAUGCUAUGUAAUAGAAAAAAUAUCUGUAACUUAAAAAAAUGACUAUUUACUAUAAGUGUCAUUGAGUCCUUUUUUCUUUCUUGUGUGUUUAUAAGCUGUUUGUAUUUCUCAUAUGUAUUGCCUUUGCCUGUGUUUCUUGCAGGUUUUUUUUAUUUGAUUGUUUAUAUAUAUCUUAUUGGUGUGUAGGAACUGUUUUUAUUACUUAUAUUGUGUUUUUGUCUUUAAUUUAUCUCAAAAACAUUGUCUCUGUGUUAAAGUAUAUUGUCUCCCAGUAUGUCAUUUUUAACUUUAUUAAUAAUAUCUCUUAACAUACAGAGACAAUUCUCUACACUUAUCUGUAUGUAUAUAUAUGCUAUACAGUUUUAAAUUUUAUGUACACAAAUUGCUGAUCUAUUGCUUUAUGAAAGUUAGGUAUUACUGCUUGCUUUAAAAGGCUAUCACCACCACUCCCAAUAAAGUUUAUUAAAAUA